rnacentral:tRNA from 1 species
GGAGAGGUGGCCGAGUGGCUGAAGGCGCUCGCCUGCUAAGCGAGUAUGGGGGUGAAACUCCCAUCGCGGGUUCGAAUCCCGCCCUCUCCG